rnacentral:tRNA from 2 species
GGAGUGAUGGCAGAGUUUGGUUGAAUGCGGCAGCAUGCUAAGCUGUUAUAGUGGUUACACUAUCGGGGGUUCGAAUCCCUCUCGCUCCG